GUAACUGACGCUGAGGAGCGAAAGGGUGGGGAGCAAACAGGCUUAGAUACCCUGGUAGUCCACCCCGUAAACGUUGGGAACUAGUUGUGGGGACCAUUCCACGGUUUCCGUGACGCAGCUAACGCAUUAAGUUCCCCGCCUGGGGAGUACGGCCGCAAGGCUAAAACUCAAAGGAAUUGACGGGGACCCGCACAAGCGGCGGAGCAUGCGGAUUAAUUCGAUGCAACGCGAAGAACCUUACCAAGGCUUGACAUACACCAGAACGGGCCAGAAAUGGUCAACUCUUUGGACACUGGUGAACAGGUGGUGCAUGGUUGUCGUCAGCUCGUGUCGUGAGAUGUUGGGUUAAGUCCCGCAACGAGCGCAACCCUCGUUCUAUGUUGCCAGCACGUAAUGGUGGGAACUCAUGGGAUACUGCCGGGGUCAACUCGGAGGAAGGUGGGGAUGACGUCAAAUCAUCAUGCCCCUUAUGUCUUGGGCUUCACGCAUGCUACAAUGGCCGGUACAAAGGGCUGCAAUACCGUGAGGUGGAGCGAAUCCCAAAAAGCCGGUCCCAGUUCGGAUUGAGGUCUGCAACUCGACCUCAUGAAGUCGGAGUCGCUAGUAAUCGCAGAUCAGCAACGCUGCGGUGAAUACGUUCCCGGGUCUUGUACACACCGCCCGUCAAGUCAUGAAAGUCGGUA
rnacentral:rRNA from 1 species